rnacentral:rRNA from 1 species
UACAGGGGUGCAAACGUUGCUCGGAAUUAUUGGGCGUAAAGCGCGCGUAGGCGGCUACUUAAGUCGGAUGUGAAAGCCCCUUGGCGUCAACUGAGGAAGUGCACCCGAAACUGAGUGGCUAGAGUACGAAAGAGGGUCGCGGAAGUUCCCGGUGAUAGAGGUGAAAUUCGUAGAUAUCGGGAGGAACACCAGUGGCGAAGGCGG